AUAUCCUGGUUAUUAUAAUUUAUUUUCUGGUCGUUAUUCAAUCUUAAGCAUCUAUAUGGUAAGGAAGAGACUCCAUUAUCUAUUUUCUUCUGCAAUUAAUAUUGGUCCGAAUUUGCCGUGGAUUAAAACUGGUGAGAUGCUUUGGCUUUUUAUUUAUCUGGCAGUUAGAGCAUUGGCUGAAUAUCUUAUUAUGGUUCUUGAAGAUAAUGUUUCUACACCUCAUGGAGGACUAUUUCUGUCUUCUGCUCAACCCUAGAGGAACUCUGUCACCUAUCUGCUAAAAAAGCAAGUCAAGGGUGAAACCCAAGAUUCUAAUGAAUCCAUAUAGAAAGGCAGGAGAUAAUGUCCCGGCCCGGGCGUUCUUGACUAUAACCUUGGAUCACUGCAUGUAAACCGUACAACAGAGUGGUUAGCAAAUACUGCUGCUUAUUGUUUGCAACAUUUCCUCUUGUAAGAUUAACUCGAGCAUAGUUUCUACUACUUUAUGUUGCAUGUUCCUAUGUUUAUUUGACAUCCUAGCAAAAAUGUGAGACUAUGACUGUUGGCUUCUCUACAAGGGCUCUAUGUAAUGUAAAUGCUGUUACACAUUGAAAGAAAGCAGAUUAACAUUACAGG